rfam:Eutrema salsugineum unplaced genomic scaffold scaffold_3, whole genome shotgun sequence.
UGAAUGAACAUCAUUGAGUGCAGCGUUGAUGUAACUUCCUUUUUUUUCUUCAAUUUUUGAAUGGAUUAAAACAAGUUACACCAGCGUUGCGCUCAAUUAUGUUUUUC